rnacentral:rRNA from 1 species
ACUCAAAUGAAUUGACGGGGGCCCGCACAAGCGGUGGAACAUGUGGUUUAAUUCGAAGCUACGCGAAAAACCUCACCAGGGCUUGACAUAAUAGAAGUAGUGAAAUGAAAGUGGAACGACCUGUCAAGUCAGGAGCUAUUACAGGUGCUGCAUGGCUGUCGUCAGCUCGUGUCGUGAGAUGUUGGGUUAAGUCCCGCAACGAGCGCAACCAUUAUCCUUUGUUGCCACUUCAGCUAGCUUGCUAGUUUGGAAGCACUCUAAGGAGACUGCCUGGGAUAACCAGGAGGAAGGUGGAGAUGACGUCAAGUCAGUACGGCCUUUAUGCCCUGGGCGACACACGUGUUACAAUGGCUAAAACAGAGGGUUGCCAACCCGCGAGGGGGAGCUAAUCUCUUAAAUUUAGCCUCAGUUCAGAUUGGAGUCUGCAAUUCGACUCCAUGAAGCCGGAAUCGCUAGUAAUGGCAGAUCAGCACGCUGCCGUGAAUACGUUCCCGGGCCUUGUACACACCGCCCGU